GACACUGGAAUGGCUCAAUCAGAGCAUAAGACUCACAAUCUCAGGGUCAUGGGUUCGAGCCCCAUGUUGGUCA